UUUACUUUGGCAGAUUAGUGUAUUAAAUUUAGAAUUUAAAAAUAAAUUAUUAAUUUAAGUAAAA
rnacentral:tRNA from 1 species